CAAGGGGCUAGGCUGGGGUAGGGGAAACUGAGUAGGGUAGCAGGUGUUUCAACCAUUUCCUGGAAAUGUUUUUGCCCGUUCGGCUAAGCAAGGUGGGCAGAUGUCUUAACUGUAUCCUAGAACUGUUUACUAGUUCUACUGAAAGUCUUGCACAAGCGGCUGUAGAAAAGUUGGGGAGGUGUUUGUAGGUGGUCACAAAGGACUGUAUUGUGAAGUUCCUGGAGGAGGAGGAGGGGUAGCUUGGAUCUCUAACAUUCCGGCCUUUAAUAGGUCAUAAAGGAAGAGGGCAACGUUAUCAUCUGACUGCUUGUAGCUGUGGAAGGGCGGCGUAGAAGAGGAAAGGCUGGGGGUUUCGGAUGGUUGUUUUUGAAGCCAUCAGUAUUCUUGAAGAAGCAGCAUAUCUUGAACUGUCCUAUGGGUGAAGGCUUUGAUGUGGUCCUGUAAAAACUGGCAUUGAAAUGGAUGGCAUCUGAUCCUGCUUCAUGUGAUUCUUCAUUUAGCUCUGGACUCUUUACAUCAUUAAGGUACCCUGAAUAUAUUCAGUAUGGCUUUUUCUUUGCAGGAAUUUAAAAGCAACCCUAUGAAUAUAACAUUUGUCAAAAAGAGCAAGUGCCAAGCCAGUUGAGAAUAACCUUACAAUGUGUACAAGGAUUCCAGCUUAUGCAACAUGAAAAUGGCAAGGAUGAAGACCUUUAUGAUGAUCCAUUUCCAUUUAAUGAAUAGUAAGUA
rnacentral:lncRNA from 1 species